GCAGCCGCCUCCCUCCCUCCCUCCCGCGCGCCUCCUAUCCUCCCACCCGCAUCGCCGCCGCCGCCACCCACCUCCUCGAACCGCGAUUGAACCCUAGCCGUCACUCCCCGCCAGCCAUCCUCCCUGCCCGUCCGCCGCCGCCACGCCAUCACCGCCACCUACCCGACGCGUUGUGGAGGAAGCGACCAGAGAGGGAGGGCGUCGCCGGCGUGUGCGCGUGCUUCCACGGGUUCUCGUCGCGGUCGCCGGAGCCGUGGUCAACCGCGUCGGGGAGGAUGGGCGCCACAUCGCGGUCCCCGAAUCCGUUGGCUGCGAGUCCGGGCGCGUCGGAUCCGGUGGCUGUUAGGAGGCAGCGCUCGGAGGAGGUCGGACGCAAGAGGCCAGCGCGGGGCAUGGAGGCAGCGCACGGAGCUCAGUUGCGGCGACGAGCUGUGCUACUGCCUUGGCUACAACCUCGUAGGGCAACUUUUUUCUUCACUCCAUAAUUCAGGAUGAACCAGGUGUCUUGGUCAUAUGGUUUAUUUCAGUCCACCUCAGGGAACAAAGUUGGUAUCUUUUGUCUGAAUUUACGGACAUCUUAUAGAAUAAAUUAUGCCAGAUUUGUUUCCUUCACUCCUCUUGUUAUGCCAGAUUUGUUUCCCUCACUCCUCUUGAUUUGUUCCAUUUCUUACAAUCUACUCUGCUAGGUUCAUCUCCAAUGGCAAAUCCAUAGCUUUGUGCUAAAGGUUCAGGCAGAUGGAAGCAUUAGCAAUUCCCUCGACGUAGCUCCCGAUUGGGCCUGAACCACAACCAGCUAAGGGGACAUUUCUACAGAUCGUUUCUAUCUGAUUUCCGACAUUUUCAGUUUUUGGAACACCCAGAAUGGAUAUAUUGAGUGUCCCUCUUGCUGCUAAACACAAUACAGUUGAGAUUAUGUCCCUACUGAGAUUCUUAAAGAACAUGGUACACCGGAAUAGCUUCAGAUCAAAGUAACUCAGCCGAUGGACCUUCUUAUCAUGAAACACCAUGGCAAUCGAGCUGUCGUCCGUCCAUCCCUCCCUCCUCGCGCCCGGAACCCUAGCUCGCGGCCAUGGCGACCGUGCAUGUUGCAGGCAGUGCAGGAUCUUCAGCACUACAAGUUGUGAUUUCUAUCACAUGUUUGUUUGAUACACAAGGUCCUUCCAUCAUGUACCCACCCACACAUGCAAAUGAAUUCGUUUGGUGGUUAUAUCUUGAGUGGCAUCUGAAUACACAAGCGUGACUAAUAGUAAGCGUGAGUGCUAGAGAAGUCCCCAUUUAGCAUGAUGGAGAGCAGGAUUGUCCCCAUUUAUAUUUGGUUCACACAGUUGUAGCUUCCUUUUUCUACGGGUUGCAAUGAUAUGGCUUGGUCGCGGCUUAGGUCAGACAGAGAUGAUCCAGUACUAAUUAAGCAUCAUUGAUAAAUAGCAAGAGGGGCAUGUGAGGAGCUCUGUCUUGCUUGUAAUAGCUAAACUAUUGUUACCUACUUAAUGAGAUCCAUCAUCGAUCUGCUCUAUUGACUAAAUGUACCCUGCUUGCUUUGCUUUGACAAAAUGGCCUGUACUGAACUUGGUCAUCCUUGGCUACCCAGAUGAGAUGUCUAUAAGGAGAACUAUCCAGUCCAUAUCUGAAUCUAGGAACUAUGAACUAUUAUAUCGAUGAUGUCGAGUUAUGUCUACAUAGCCUGCCUUGCUAUGCUUCUAUAAGCUCAAUGUAUCCUUUGUACUGUUCUUCUUCUUCGACUUAUCUGCUCAUUUUUAGAUAAAUUUUCAUGUGAGUACCAAUGUUAUAAACCAGAAUUCUCUUUCUAAGGAUGCUUAUGUCAGAACGGUUCAUCAUAUUUGUCAAUAUAUUCUAUACAAUAUGUUAUGCAGUCUAAAACCCAUCUUAAAUUUCAUAUCUUAUGAAUAGAUAAUAAUUUGCAGUAUGACACUGUACUGAACUAAUAUCAUUGCUUUUUUUCAUAUUUACAAUGCUCCUAUGACUGUUCUGUAAAAAAAAUGCUCCUAUGACUGUAUUACCCAAUUGGAUAUAAUUGUACUCGGCAGCGGCGCUGCCGGGUGCGGCAAGCCGCAUUUCCUACUGUUAAAUUGAUUGACUGGUGUGCAUAUGAUUUCAAGGUAUCACUUACAAGGUAGGAGACUGAUAUGAACUGCCAAUGUAAUUUCUUUUUAUUUGUGAUUCUUGCUGUUUAAUUGAUUGACUGGUGUGCAUAUGAUUUCUAAUAUAUGAAUUCCUUCGUCUUGUGUAUUGAAUAUAGGAUUUAGCUACAGAUAAUCAUUAAUCAACUGAUGUAAUUUCUUUGCCAAGUUGUAGUUAGAGUUAAAUGUGCCACUGGUUAUUUUAUAUCCUUUAUUUAUUCUUAUUCUUCUAAAUGAAAUAGGAGAUUUGUUGGUGCUCCAUUAACUAAAUAUCACUGACAAAAUGUUGUUCUCAUUUCAGUUGAGAGAAAAGUUGCAUACUUUGUGAACCAAUUGGAGAUUCAUGUUGUUUCCCUGGAUAUUGUGUAGUUAGAGUUGAUGUCACUGGUUAUUUUAUAUCAUUUGUUACUAUUCUUUAAUCGCCAAAUCAUAUAGGAGAUUUUGUUGGUGCCCAAUUAACCAAAUGUUACUGACAAAACUGACAAAAUGUUGUUCUUAUUUCAGUUUGAGCGCAAAUUGCAUGCUCUAUAAACUAACGGGAGAUUUCUGUUGUUACCAGAAUAUUGUAGGAAGGGUGGACUAUGAAGGGAAACACUGGUGUUCUAAGAUAGAUGUUCUGUGUUUGAGAUCUUGCCUUGGUAGCUGGAUGCCUUGGUGCAAGACAUUCAAGGUUGUUUGAUGCGUUCGUGCUCGUCGGCGGGACGGUGCAAGGCGCAACUCCGACGCGGUUCCUCGCCGGUUGGACGGCGUUCAGGCACAACCCCGGCGCGCACUGAGUACUGCCUCGGCUACAGCCUCCCUCAGUGAGGUCCAUCUUCCUCCCGCUCCUCUGCUUCGGCUACUGUAUGGGACAUGGCCAUGGCUAUAUUGAUGUGGUGCUUGUCUGGUUGAUGCUCUAUGCCCUACUCAUGCAUCGGUUCCUACUUGAGCUAUGUACUUGUGGAUCCAUGCCAUUUUAGGGUUUGCAGGCUGCUGUUCAUGUUUAGUUGCUAUCAUAGGAGCUAAUGUGAUGCUCUGGUUUACAUGUCGAUGCCCUGGUCCUAUAGCUAUGCUCCUGGAUUUGCUAUA